UGGGGAAUUUUGGACAAUGGGCGAAAGCCUGAUCCAGCAAUGCCGCGUGUGUGAAGAAGGCCUUCGGGUUGUAAAGCACUUUUGUCCGGAAAGAAAUCCUUGGCUCUAAUACAGUCGGGGGAUGACGGUACCGGAAGAAUAAGCACCGGCUAACUACGUGCCAGCAGCCGCGGUAAUACGUAGGGUGCAAGCGUUAAUCGGAAUUACUGGGCGUAAAGCGUGCGCAGGCGGUUUGCUAAGACCGAUGUGAAAUCCCCGGGCUCAACCUGGGAACUGCAUUGGUGACUGGCAGGCUAGAGUAUGGCAGAGGGGGGUAGAAUUCCACGUGUAGCAGUGAAAUGCGUAGAGAUGUGGAGGAAUACCGAUGGCGAAGGCAGCCCCCUGGGCCAAUACUGACGCUCAUGCACGAAAGCGUGGGGGAGCAAACAGGAUUAGAUACCCUGGUAGUCCACGCCCUAAACGAUGUCAACUAGUUGUUGGGGAUUCAUUUCCUUAGUAACGUAGCUAACGCGUGAAGUUGACCGCCUGGGGAGUACGGUCGCAAGAUUAAAACUCAAAGGAAUUGACGGGGUCAUAGCUGUUUCCU
rnacentral:rRNA from 1 species